AGUACGUGAAACUGCUUAGAGGUUAAGCCCGAUGAGCCUGAAUAUCCAUUAUGGAAAAUUCAUCAUUAAUAAUAUGGUAUUUAUAAUAUCGUAGAAAUAGUGUGCAAUUUUUCCAUAUAAGGACAUUGUAAUCUGUUAAUGUAAUAAAUAUUUAUCAAAAGAUCCUUUGCUUAAGUUUAUUCAAAUUAGUUAUUUUCGGAUUUCUAACAUAGAUUAAAUGUAUUGGAUUUGAUAAAUCAUUGACAGAUAUAAUUAUAUAAUGUGCUUAAAUUCUUUUGAAUUUUAUAAUGAUAGAUAGAUCUAUUGAUUUGUUUAUUUAAUUAUAUGCACUAUUAUGAUUAACAAUGCGAUAGAUUCAGGAUACCUUCGGGACCCGUCUUGAAACACGGACCAAGGAGUCUAACAUAUGUGCAAGUCAUUGGGUAUUUUUAAUAAAACCCAAUGGCAUAAUUAACUUAACUGUUAUUAAUAAUGGGAUUAGUUUAUGUUUUGUUAUGAAAUAUGAAUUCAAUCCCGGGGCGUUCUAUACAGUUAUGUAUAAUGAUAUUUAUAUUAUUUAUGCCUCUAACUAGAGC
rnacentral:rRNA from 1 species